rnacentral:rRNA from 1 species
UACGAACCGUCCAAACGUUAUUCGGAAUCACUGGGCUUAAAGGGUGCGUAGGCGGCUCGGUAAGUUGGGUGUGAAAUCCCACGGCUCAACCGUGGAAUUGCGCUCAAAACUGUCGAGCUUGAGGGAGAUAGAGGUAAGCGGAACUUCGGGUGGAGCGGUGAAAUGCGUUGAUAUCCGAAGGAACACCGGUGGCGAAAGCGGCUUACUGGGUCUCUUCUGACGCUGAGGCACGAAAGCUAGGGGAGCGAACGGG